UUUCCGUAGGUGAACCUGCGGAAGGAUCAUUAAUGAAGUUUGGGCUUCGGCCCUCUCUCUUCUACACACUUGUGAACCUACCACGUUGCUUUGGCAGGUCUUUCCGCGAGGAAUUAGACCGUGAGGUGCCUGCCAAAGACAUUUAAAUCAUUCUUUAUUUACGUCUGAUUUUUGUUUUUAAAACAAAAUUGAAAUAAAACUUUCAACAAUGGAUCUCUUGGCUCUGGCAUCGAUGAAGAACGCAGC
rnacentral:misc_RNA from 1 species